GAAAGUGUGGGUAUCAAACAGGAUUAGAUACCGUGGUAGUCCACACAGUAAACGAUGAAUACUCGCUGUUUGCGAUAUACAGUAAGCGGCCAAGAGAAAGCAUUAAGUAUUCCACCUGGGGAGUACGCCGGCAACGGUGAAACUCAAAGGAAUUGACGGGGGCGCCGCACAAGCGGAGGAACAUGUGGUUUAAUUCGAUGAUACGCGAGGAACCUUACCCGGGCUUAAAUUACAUUUGAAUAAUCUGGAAACAGUUUAGCAGUAAGGCAAAUGUGAAGGUGCUGCAUGGUUGUCGUCAGCUCGUGCCGUGAGGUGUCGGGUUAAGUGUCAUAACGAGCGCAACCCUUAUUUUCAGUUUCUAACAGGUCAUGAUGAGAACUCUGGAGAGAUUGCCGUGGUAAGAUGUGAGGAAGGUGGGGAUGACGUCAAAUCAGCUCGUCCCUUACGUCCGGGGCUUCACAGGUGUUACAAUGGGGGGUACAGAAGGCAGCUAUCCUGGUGACAGGAUGCUAAUCCCAAAAACCUCUCUCAGUUCGGAUCGAAGUCUGCAACCCGAAUUCGUGAAGCUGGAUUUGCUAGUAAUCGAGCAUCAGCCAUGGCGCGGUGAAUACGUUCCCGGGCCUUGUUCACACCGCCCGUCAAGCCAUGAAAGCCGGGGGUACUAGAAGUACGUAACCGCAAGGAGCGUCUUAG
rnacentral:rRNA from 1 species